UCCUACGGGAGGCAGCAGUGGGGAAUAUUGCACAAUGGGGGGAACCCUGAUGCAGCCAUGCCGCGUGUGUGAAGAAGGCCUUCGGGUUGUAAAGCACUUUCAGUUGUGAGGAAAGGUUAGUAGUUAAUACCUGCUAGCUGUGACGUUACUCACAGAAGAAGCACCGGCUAACUCCGUGCCAGCAGCCGCGGCAAUACGGAGGGUGCAAGCGUUAAUCGGAAUUACUGGGCGUAAAGCGCGCGUAGGCGGCUUGUUAAGCAAGAUGUGAAAGCCCCGGGCUUAACCUGGGAACUGCAUUUUGAACUGGCAGGCUAGAGUCUUGGAGAGGGGGGUAGAAUUUCAGGUGUAGCGGUGAAAUGCGUAGAGAUCUGAAGGAAUACCAGUGGCGAAGGCGGCCCCCUGGACAAAGACUGACGCUCAGAUGCGAAAGCGUGGGGAGCAAACAGGAUUAGAUACCCUGGUAGUCCACGCCGUAAACGCUGUCUACUAGCUGUUUGUGAGUUUAACUCGUGAGUAGCGAAGCUAACGCGCUAAGUAGACCGCCUGGGGAGUACGGCCGCAAGGUUAAAACUCAAAUGAAUUGACGGA
rnacentral:rRNA from 1 species